CUGGAUGUAAUCUUAAUAAGUGCGAAAAAAUUUCAUCCUUCUGUGUCCAACCGAGGUUUGGUUUGCCUGAGUGUUCCUGCAAACAAGGAUUCUACAAGAACUCUCAAUACGAAACAAAAUGCAUAGAAACGUGUAAAUCGAAAUGUAAAGGGGAGAAUCAACUUUGUGUGCCCCGAGCUGAGAGUAAUGACUUUGUUUGUGAAUGUCAGCUCGGAUAUAAAAACAACAAUGGCAAAUGCGACAGUUGUCCAUACGGCUACGCUGGAAGAAACUGUGAGGAUGGAUACCAACUUGCUAUUAUAGUGACUGGAGUUUUAGCCGCAGUUGUGAUUCUGGCUCUGGGGAUUUCACUUGUGUGUACAUAUGUCAG